UGUCUGAAUAACCACAACAACCAAUGCGCUUCCAUGUUUAAUAAGCCACAUCUUCAGUUGAACCUGGGGUGAAAUGUGAGACCCUGAUUCUGUGGGGUAGUAUUAGAGAGUUGGCCUGGCGCUGUGAAGACCAUCAUCCUCAGUAUAGUGGCAACUCCAGUGCACCUCUACCGCAAAGAUGGCUUAAGCAAAGGCAGCCAGAUGGAAGUGUGACAUCCAACAGAGGGGAAGUAGGCAGGGGUCACUAAAGUGGCUGGUGGCCCGGCAGAUGGAGGCAGAAGUAUGGCCAUCAGGGAAGGAGGCAGGUCCAGGGUUACAGUGCUUUCAGGUACUGGCGUUUCUAUAGGGGCAUUUGUCACCCACACCUUUGGAAACUCCCCUGGCCUUUUGUGACAUGGCAGGACUGCCUGGUUCGUAAAGGUGGAGAUGCUAGUGGGGAAGAGCUGAGCCUGUGAGGUGGUUUGUACCAGGUCUAGACGGGAAAUGAGGCUGCAGGCUAUGAUGGGGCCACUGCACUAACUGCUUGGUACCAUCCUGAGGGGACAAGGUACAGACUCAAGUUCCCAUAGGCACUUAAGCAUUGGGGGGUAGGAGGCCACCCCUGGGGUUCAGCUGUGCUCCUUCAGGCACCCAGCUUACCCCCAA